UACGUAGGGGGCUAGCGUUGUCCGGAAUCAUUGGGCGUAAAGAGCGUGUAGGCGGCCCGGUAAGUCCGCUGUAAAAGUCAAAGGCUCAACCUUUGAAUGUCAGUGGAUACUGCCGGGCUAGAGUCCGGAAGAGGCGAGUGGAACUCCUGGUGUAGCGGUGGAAUGCGCAGAUAUCAGGAGGAACACCAAUGGCGAAGGCAGCUCGCUGGGACGUUACUGACGCUGAGACGCGAAAGCGUGGGGAGCGAACAGG
rnacentral:rRNA from 1 species